AGAACGAACGCUGGCGGCAUGCCUAACACAUGCAAGUCGAACGAGACCUUCGGGUCUAGUGGCGCACGGGUGCGUAACGCGUGGGAAUCUGCCCUUGGGUACGGAAUAACAGUUAGAAAUGACUGCUAAUACCGUAUAAUGACGUAAGUCCAAAGAUUUAUCGCCCAGGCAUGAGCCCGCGUAGGAUUAGCUUGUUGGUGAGGUAAAGGCUCACCAAGGCGACGAUCCUUAGCUGGUCUGAGAGGAUGAUCAGCCACACUGGGACUGAGACACGGCCCAGACUCCUACGGGAGGCAGCAGUGGGGAAUAUUGGACAAUGGGCGAAAGCCUGAUCCAGCAAUGCCGCGUGAGUGAUGAAGGCCUUAGGGUUGUAAAGCUCUUUUACCCGGGAUGAUAAUGACAGUACCGGGAGAAUAAGCUCCGGCUAACUCCGUGCCAGCAGCCGC
rnacentral:rRNA from 1 species